UACGAGGGGGGCGAGCGUUGUUCGGAAUUAUUGGGCGUAAAGGGUGCGUAGGCGGUUCGGUAAGUUUCGUGUGAAAUCUUCGGGCUCAACUCGAAGUCUGCACGAAAUACUGCCGGGCUUGAGUGUGGGAGAGGUGAGUGGAAUUUCCGGUGUAGCUGUGAAAUGCGUAGAUAUCGGAAGGAACACCUGUGGCGAAAGCGGCUCACUGGACCACAACUGACGCUGAGGCACGAAAGCUAGGGGAGCAAACAGG
rnacentral:rRNA from 1 species